rnacentral:rRNA from 1 species
GCCUUCGGGUUGUAAACCUCUUUCGGCGGGGACGAAGGGGAAGGGACGAAUACUGCAUAACCUGACUCGGCCCUUUACGGGGACCCCCGGCUAUAUAAUAGCCAGCAGCCGCGGUAAUA